CUAGCCGUAAACGAUGGAUACUAGGCGUUGUGAGUAUCGACCCUCACAGUGUCGUAGCUAACGCGUUAAGUAUCCCGCCUGGGGAGUACGCGCGCAAGCGUGAAACUCAAAGGAAUUGACGGGGGCCCGCACAAGCGGUGGAGUAUGUGGUUUAAUUCGAUGCAACGCGAAGAACUUUACCAGGACUUGACAUGUCGCGAAUCUCAGGGAAACUUGAGAGUGCCUUCGGGAGCGCGAACACAGGUGGUGC
rnacentral:rRNA from 1 species